rnacentral:rRNA from 1 species
CCUACGGGAGGCAGCAGUGAGGAAUAUUGGUCAAUGGGCGCGAGCCUGAACCAGCCAAGUCGCGUGAGGGAAGACGGUCCUAUGGAUUGUAAACCUCUUUUGUCGGGGAGCAAACGACGCCACGCGUGGCGUUCCGAGAGUACCCGAAGAAAAAGCAUCGGCUAACUCCGUGCCAGCAGCCGCGGUAAUACGGAGGAUGCGAGCGUUAUCCGGAUUUAUUGGGUUUAAAGGGUGCGCAGGCGGAAGAUCAAGUCAGUGGUAAAAUUGAGAGGCUCAACCUCUUCGAGCCGUUGAAACUGGUGUUCUUGAGUGAGUGAGAAGUAUGCGGAAUGCGUGGUGUAGCGGUGAAAUGCAUAGAUAUCACGCAGAACUCCGAUUGCGAAGGCAGCAUACCGGCGCUCAACUGACGCUCAUGCACGAAAGUGUGGGUAUCGAACAGGAUUAGAUACCCCGGUAGUC